AAGGGGGGAUGCAAGCGUUAUCCGGAAUCACUGGGCGUAAAGCGUCUGUAGGUGGUGAUGCAAGUCACUGGUGCAAAACUCUGGCUCAACCGGAGGAAAGCCAGUGAAACUGCAUGACUAGAGUGUGGGAGAGGUGGAAGGAAUUCCCUGAGUAGCGGUGAAAUGCGUAGAUACAGGGAAGAACACCGGAGGCGAAAGCGUUCUACUGGAACACAGCUGACGCUGAGAGACGAAAGCUAGGGGAGCGAAUGGG
rnacentral:rRNA from 1 species